UACGAAGGGGGCUAGCGUUGCUCGGAAUGACUGGGCGUAAAGGGCGCGUAGGCGGCGGACACAGUCAGAUGUGAAAUUCCCGGGCUCAACCUGGGGGCUGCAUUUGAUACGUGUUUGCUUGAGUGGGGAAGAGGGUCGUGGAAUUCCCAGUGUAGAGGUGAAAUGCGUAGAUAUCAGGAGGAACACCGGUGGCGAAAGCGCUUGUCUGGCCCAAUACUGACGCUGAUGCGCGAAAGCUAGGGGAGCAAACGGG
rnacentral:rRNA from 1 species